rnacentral:sRNA from 1 species
GCUGGGUGUAGUGGCGCAUGCCUGUAAUCCCAGCAGCUGGGAGGCUGAGACAGGAGGAUUGCGAGUUCAAAGCCAGCCUCAGCAACUUAGCAAGGCACUAAGCAACUCAGUGAGACCCUGUCUCUA